rnacentral:tRNA from 2 species
GGGGGUGUAGCUCAGUGGUAGAGCGCGUGCUUCGCAUGUACGAGGCCCCGGGUUCGACCCCCGGCUUCUCCA